AUACAGGAAAAAGGCAACAUUAAAUAGGUGUUUAAAUUUACCAGUACAGUGCAGGUGAGGAGGAGGAUGGACAGCUGUGUUCUGGAGACCUGCUAUGCUCAGCUGUGUCCUGGAAACCUACUAUGCUCAGCUGUGUCCUGGAGACCUACUAUGGUCAGGCACUAUGGCAGCACACUUACAAAGCCCCACACUGGUGAGGAGACAGGCCCAGGAUCAACUUCCUUCAGUUUCUGCAAGCAUCUCCCCUCACAAGAGUGUUUUGUCAAGUAAGAAAAGUCUGGUAAGUACUAUUCUGGAGUUCACAGUCACUGCAAUGACUAAGUAUGGUGGUGAGGACACAAUUUCAAUGGGCCAAACCUUUCCGAUGGCAGUGGGGAGAACGAAACACAACAGGAAGUUACAAUUCUGCAACCUUCCACAUGUCCUGAGUUGGAACCCAGUCUGUAAUCAGGCUAUAGUAGACUCUUCCGAUGAAUACUAUAACACUGAUGGUGCAAACUCUGUCCCACGUGACCUGGUCACCACAAGGAGGACAGUGUUGCUACAGAUGAUAAUACAAUCAGCUCGCCAUUGUUUACAGUAAUAGGACACAGGCGGGAAAUGAAAA
rnacentral:sRNA from 1 species